rnacentral:misc_RNA from 1 species
AACGCACCUUGCGCUCCUUGGUAUUCCAAGGAGCACGCCUGUUCGAGUGUCGUGAAGUUUAUCAAGCUUGAAGAUUUUUUUGCUUGACAAAAAUGCCCCUAGCUUGGUUUUGGGCUUUGCCGUUCCUUUAUUCGGAACGGCUGGCCUUAAAGAUAUUAGCUUGAUCCCUUGUGUGGCAUUGGUUCUACUCAGCGUGAUAAUAAUAUGACCGCUGAGGACAUCCUUCGGGGGGUGGUCAAUUCUCUUUGGGGGGUUGCUAUCUAAUCUCAGUUGCAGGAUUUCUUGGAUAAUCCUACUUCACUUCCAAAUUUGACCUCGAAUCAGGUGGGACUACCCGCUGAACUUAA